CAGUUUCUAAAGUGGAGGAAGCACUGUUGCACUGCACACAAAGGAUUUGGAGGCUGGCAGCCAUUUAAAACCUGAUGAUUAUGUAAGAUCCCCGCGGAGCUGCCUCGAAGAAGGAUGCUAAUAUCACAUAUCAGUUAGAUGACCAAGUUCAGGGCCUGCACAACUGCUGCAGCUCGGCUCUGGAGUGCGGAUCAAUGGAAUACUGCUGGGGAUACAAGGGACCACACCCACAUACUGAUUAGACCCUCUGAUUGGAUAUCACAUGGAUGUCUUGACCACUACCAUGGCUCUCAUGCAAAUUGAUAAAGAGAGAACCAGUACACUUGGUUUUCCCUAGAGGAGGAGGAAAGGGUGCAUUGACAUGGAGCUUUUGGGAUGGAGCUGAGUAUGGAUCAGUGGGAUUUUCUCAUCACUCUGCCCUCAAGAACUGCCAGAUAAGGGAGCGAGAGGGAGAGAAGAGAAAAGGCCAAGGAGAGACAGAGAGAGCCAG